GACGAACGCUGGCGGCGUGCUUAACACAUGCAAGUCGAACGGAAAGGCCCUGCUUGCAGGGUACUCGAGUGGCGAACGGGUGAGUAACACGUGGGUGAUCUGCCCUGCACUUCGGGAUAAGCCUGGGAAACUGGGUCUAAUACCGGAUAGGAGCCAUUUUUAGUGUGAUGGUUGGAAAGUUUUUUCGGUGUAGGAUGAGCUCGCGGCCUAUCAGCUUGUUGGUGGGGUAAUGGCCUACCAAGGCGGCGACGGGUAGCCGGCCUGAGAGGGUGGACGGCCACAGUGGGACUGAGAUACGGCCCAGACUCCUACGGGAGGCAGCAGUGGGGAAGAUUGCACAAUGGGCGCAAGCCUGAUGCAGCGACGCCGCGUGGGGGAGGACGGCCUUCGGGUUGUAAACUCCUUUCGCUAGGGACGAAGCUUUUUGUGACGGUACCUAGAGAAGAAGCACCGGCUAACUACGUG
rnacentral:rRNA from 1 species